UACGAAGGGGGCUAGCGUUGUUCGGAAUUACUGGGCGUAAAGGGCGCGUAGGCGGAUUGUUAAGUCGGGGGUGAAAUCCUGAGGCUCAACCUCAGAACUGCCUUCGAUACUGGCGAUCUUGAGUUCGGAAGAGGUUGGUGGAACAGCUAGUGUAGAGGUGAAAUUCGUAGAUAUUAGCUAGAACACCAGUGGCGAAGGCGGCCAGCUGGUCCGAUACUGACGCUGAGGCGCGAAAGCGUGGGGAG
rnacentral:rRNA from 1 species